UGAAAAAUUAUGUACGUAACUUAGCUCGACCGGAGGGUUCAAUUGCUGAAGCGUAUAUCACUAAAGAAUGUUUGAACUUUUGUUCACUGUAUUUUCAUGGGGUUGAGACAAUAUAUAAUCGCGUUGAGAGAAAUAAUUUUCCUGUGCAAAUAGGAGUGGAAAAUGGAUUUUCCAUAUUUUCAAACAAUGCAAGACCUUUAGGAGCUACAGAAUAUAAAACGUUAUCCCAUUCUGAUUUUGAAAAAUUGCAGUGGUAUGUGCUUAACAAUUGUGAGGAUGUUGAUGAAUAUCUUAAGAUUCACAUUGAAGAAUUACAAAAGGAAAGUGUUAUAGAUGUGCAAAAAAGACACCAGGCAGGAUUUGCCAGUUGGUUCAAGGAGUGUGUUGGACGCUUACGUGCUACUGGAUUGGUUGCAGCAACAGAUCAUAUAUAUGCGUUGGG